rnacentral:tRNA from 1 species
UCCGGGAUCGUCCAAUGGUAAGACACAUCCCUCUGGAGGAUGGAAUUGGGGUUCGAAUCCCUAUCCCGGAU